rnacentral:rRNA from 1 species
CAGUAGCCGCGGUAAUACAGAGGGUGCAAGCGUUAAUCGGAAUUACUGGGCGUAAAGCGCGCGUAGGUGGUUCGCCAAGUUGGAUGUGAAAUCCCCGGGCUCAACCUGGGAACUGCAUCCAAAACUGGCGAGCUAGAGUAUGGUAGAGGGUGGUGGAAUUUCCUGUGUAGCGGUAAAAUGCGUAGAUAUAGGAAGGAACAUCAGUGGCGAAGGCGACCACCUGGACUGAUACUGACACUGAGGUGCGAAAGCAUGGGGAGCGAACAGGAUUAGAUACCCGUGUAGUCCCUGUCUCUUAUAC